ACUUUGCCAAAUUACAGUGUUUUUUUCCCCUUCCCCUUAGUGGCCUUUCCUCUUCUUUCUCACUCUCGCCGAGAUGGCGUCGAACUCAUUUUUGAUGCUAUUACCGGCAUGGUAUCAUGCAAUUUUUAUGAGGUCUGUACACCUUAAUGAUUGCAUUUAUUGUUCAUGUAUNAACAUCGCAAACCUUGGUCAAAGACUAGGCAACUCGCUUCUAAAAUAGCACAGUUUAGCCUAGUAUUUGAUAUGGUUGGGGGCCUAUUUAUUAUCUAUUUUACCACCUGUUUCAAAGGGAAUUCAAGAGGGCAAAGCUAGAAGGGACGUCCAUUCAUGUUUUAUUCAUCUGUUGAGUCUCUUUUUUCAAUCAUCUUUAAAGAUCUUGUAUAAGUAGAAUACUAAAUACGUAAUUUUACUAAAUGUCUGAGCUUUUUAUUGCGCAAGAACUUCGAACGUCUCUUAAACAUCUUCUUUUCAUCGACGAAAAAAUGUCUAAGUCCAGUGUAGAGGGGAUAGAAGGACUACACUGAAGCUAGUUGGAUUAUUUCCACAGCAUUUACUGCUUAUUAUCCAAGCUCUUAAUCAAACAUCGAGAGGAAGGUUGAAAAUCUCAAUGGAAAGUCCAACUAGCCGGAGAAAAAUGCUUCAUUUCAUUUUAUUUGUCUAUAACCUUUCAGUUAUAGCAAGAAGUUCAGCUCAAGUUUCUAGGCCGAUAUCAUUCGAGCACAAAAUUCUCCAAGACGUUUUUCACCUUUAUGACAAAGAUGCCCAUCCAGGGGGAGGCAUGAAAGUCAAUGUCGUUUUUGGCGCCAGACUUGCUCGCCUUGUGAAAGUCGAAGAGGUUAAUAACAUUAUCAAGGCUCAAUGGUGGAUGAAACAGGUUGGUAAUGGAGAUUUUUUCUGUUCCCAAAAAAUAAUUCCGAUCUAAGAAGUACACCAGGGAUAUGGGGUGGGGAACGAAGGGACGAGACCCAGGAUGAU
rnacentral:lncRNA from 1 species